GAGUUCACUUUGUCUUUGGAGGAGGAGGGACUUCCGUUUGAUUCAUCUUGAUGUAUGUUUCCAACUCUGUGGUACUGGCUUGACAGUGCUUCCCACCCUGUGCUAUGCAGAAGUGGGUCCACAUAUCUAGGUAAUGCUGUGGGUACCCACACACUUGGGGUUCCCAGGUAGGUUCUUUGUGGAACCUCCAUUCCAAGGAAACUGUUAUUCAGAAGCUGAGCCCAAACUAUUGAGGCACAUAAAACCUGUAGCAUGAAGACAUCUCAGGGUGAAUAAAUAUACUCCCUGAAACCAUUUUCUUUGUCCCACAAUCCCGCCUCAAGACAGGGUUUCUCCGUGUUGCCUUAGCCAUCCUGGAACUUGCUCUGUAGACCUGACUGCCCUCAAACUCAGGAUUUGCCUGCCUCUGCCUCCCAAAUGUUGAGUUUGAAAGGCAUGCGCCAUCACUGCCCGGCUUAUACUCCCUGAAUCAUGAAAGCCCUUGACGGACAUCCAGAGCCCCUGAUAUGAAAAAUGGAGUCACCACUGUGAAUGUGCCUGAUUCGAAAGUGCUGAAGUUGUGUCAAAGUCACACAUACUUUCAUCCCCCAACUCUGGCAGACGGAACACAGGAAUAGUUGAGUCCUGGGGGGAUCCUUUUUCUCUCCCUCCCUCCCCCAUCCCAUCUCCAUAUCUCUUUCUUUCCAUGCCCCUUCCUUCUUUUCCAGGCUGGGGCAUCCGGGCUUGGUUGUUCACGUGGCUGAAAUCAACUGGCUAAUUAUCAGCUCUCCUCUCUGCUUGGUAGGAAUAAGCCGCAUCUUACCUGAGCCAGAUGAUCAUUCAUGCACAAUAAUAAGAAAUACAGAGAGCCACGGAAGCAUCCAGGAGACAAACAGGUUAUAUAAUUGCCUAUUAGAGACUCUGAUUUGAAAUCAUUUCCGGAAGGUUCUGCACUCUUUCUCUUCGCACCCAGCUGCCCACCACCAAACAUCCUUCUCUGCAUUUAAGAGUGGUGACUUUCUAAAACAUGGCGGCUAGGGAGCUCCCGAGGAGCCUUGACUGCCUCCUCCUGAAAGGAAAGAAGGGACGGUGCAUGGACGAGAUGUUCUGGGGAACUUCAAAUGGGCCACAAAGAGAUUCUCUUGGCUUGGAAACAUUUGGAUCACCAGCCUCUCCCUGGAACACAAUCGUGUUCAGACCAAAUUGAAGAAGAACGCUGAGCUGGGACGGGGUGAGUGGAAUGCUUGACUUCACCUCCUACAGGAUGGGACACACUCACGUUGGGGAAAUUAGUGCUGACUCCUGGAACAGAUUUAUCUUCUGGCCCUCAAAAUGCUUCCAAGAAAUGGCAGGCCAAGGAGCUCAAAUGUCUGUGUCGAACAAGGAUCUCCAAUUUCCUGGCUUUAUUUUCAGAGGUCCAGCUAAGCCUUCUGUCGUCCCCGGUAUCCUGGUUGAUCGAGUGAAUUAGCUCUGUUUAUGAGUGUACUGUGAUUACAAGGAACUGUGGAGACACAGAGUCCCCAGGGAGCGUCCACCCAAAUCGAGCUCUUCCUUACUCGGUCACUCACUGACCUACUCAGCCGUUGACCCACAACACACUCUUGUUUACAGAUGCGGCAUGCUGGGCACAGACACAUGGACCAGGAAAUCCCUGCCCCAUGCUCAAAGCUGAGAGAGUCUUUCCAGAUGGCCCUGGCUAGAAGAACAAGACGGGGUGCUGUUUGACAGAAAGCAGGCACAAGCAGAAGACGCCAAGACCAGCAGCUCCAGAGAGGACGUGGCACUGCUGCAACCACCCCUGUGCUACCAAGGUGUCUCUUUGAUGACCCAUCUCUGCCAGGCUCUGGGAGAUUGGGCCCUGUGGUAAUCGUCUUAUGAGGUUCACUGUAUACGAAGAGGGACACCUGUCCCUGAGAGAAGCACAUAUACUAAAAUGUGACAAGGCUAGAAUGAGCAAAAGGGGUUAGGUCAGGCCCACUGGGCUGGGAGACUUGGUUGGUUCAAGAUGAUCAAGGAAGGUAGGCUCAGAAGAGUAAGGGUUAAUCUGAGCCCCACGGACAGAGCAGGGGACAGGAGGGAGAGCAUGACCCACCUAGGGGACACAAAAUUAAACACUGAGCAGAAACAGAGAGUGGUACACUAGUGGGAAAGAAGAAGACGAGAGGGGGCAUAGGAGGAAGAAGAGGAGGAGGAGAAGGGGAAAUGAGUCAGGAGAAGAGAAAGGAACUUUCCAGGCAGCAACUGUGUAGGUCUCACAGGCUUAGAGCAGGCUGCUCUCACAGACUGCAGGAGCAGGACCAAGUGCUGAGUUCUGGCUGGACAAAGAAUCAUCCAGCGCUAGGACUGGAUCCACCCAGAAGGCUGGGAUGGAAGUUUGGGCUGUGGGUGUCAUUCUGCACAGGCACCAGAUGAGUAUAGAUGUGUACCCUGUUCUUAUCACCAUGUAGCACCACUACUGUAGAUGGUCGUUGAUCCCCUCCCUUGCCAGACUCAGGACAAACUUGUCUUUUGUGGUCACAUUUGCAACAACUGAAGACUGAGAGUUCUGGGCACUGUUAAUCAGUCAGUCAGUCUAGCAGUGGCGUUUGUCAUGGUCAUUUUGCUGCGAUGGGCUGUCACUGGGGGUUAUGUCACAACACCUCCAGCUUUUACCUACUAGAUAUCAGGAACAAUCCUACCCACUGCUCACUGUAACAACUCAAAACGCCUCUGAGUGUUUCACAAUCACCGUAGUUGUGAACCAUUGGGUUGAUAUUCCUAAAUGUUUGUCUUAGUUAGGGUUCUGUUGCUGUGAAUAGACUCCAUGACUGUGGCAACUCUUAGAAAGGAAAACAUUCAAUGGGGCUGGUUUAAAGCUUCAAAGGUUUAGUCCAUUAUUGUCAUGCUGAGAAGCAUGGUGCUAUGCAGGCAGAUGUGGCGCUGAGAGUUCCACAUCCGGAUCAGCAGGCAGCUAAAAGAAAGAGUGACACUGGUCCUGGCUUGGGCUUCUGAAACCUCAAAGACCACACCCUGUGACACACUUCCUCUAACAAGGCCACACCUACUCCAACAAGGCCACACCUACUCCAACAAGGCCACACCUACUCCAACAAGGCCACACCUACUCCAACAAGGCCUUACCUCCAAAUAUUACUACUCCAUGAGCCUAUGGAAACCAUUUUCAUUCAAACCACGAUGCUCAACUGUGUUUGACAGGUCCCCUACCCCCACAAAAGCAGGAGGAAGCUGAUUAUAUAGUAGGGGUUUCCAAGCUCACCCAGGAGAGAACAUAGUCUUAACAUCAGUGGCUGUACACGAAGUCUGAGGCAGUCGUUGGUGGGGGCAGGUGGGAGGCACGUGCCCAUCCAAGUCACUGCCAGCCAGGAGGAAUAGGGACCACUAAUGCACCCUCCCUUCUCUGACCCUCUCUCAGCAGUUACAAGAGGGUCCACGAAGAAAAGCUUCUGUGGGUUAGUGAACAGAUACAGGGAAGUCUUUGCCUCAUGGAAGCACGCUGGACAAAGCCCUUUGGAAGCGUGGAACACCUACCACGUUGAAAAGCUUUCAGUGGCCAUUUUACCUUCUCAAGCCCAGGGAUGCUGGUCAUGAGCAUCUUGAAGACCAGACAUGGUUUAUGUUAAGUGAGCACAACUGGCUAGACACCAGGUGAUUUAGAAAACCUUUAUCCUGAGGGGGUUACACUCUGCCCCCUAAGAUCCCAACAUGCUCAGUUUAUUUCAGUUGGGGCUUGUUCAGUUAGCACGUUUUGCUAACAACGCUCUUUAUUUUAUUUCUUAUUUUUGCGUGCGUUGGGUGUGUGAGUGUGUGUGUUAUGAGUGUGUGUGUUAUGGGUGUGAGUGUGUGUGAAGUGUGUUUAUCUCUCCACACACGCAUGUAUAUGUACACAGAGGCCAAGGGAGCAUGUACAAUGUCUUCCUUUAUUGCUCUUCCCCUUUUCCUGUGAAGGCUGGGUGCAGAUCGUUUACACAGUUUGGGAGCUGUUGUAAGGCAGGCAGAGGACGGUGGUGCCCAUGGCUGUCUUGUCUAUCUUCUAGGCCCCCCUCUUCUUCUCCUCCGCUUCCUUCUCCCUUCUGUGCAUAAAUGUGAGGAGAAAACGGUUUUCCCUUCAGUCCUGUAUCCCCUGCCUGACCCUGUAUGGCCUUCAACAUUGCUGGCUCGGCUGAAUCUGUAAAGGGACCCCGACCUUGGCCUCCUCUGCACAUUACAGUGUAAAACACACACCCUAAGCCCAGUUUUCCCACUCAUUGCCUUCUUCCCUUCCUUAAAAAUGAGGAAAAGGGUCCUUCUUGGCUCAUAAAAAAAAUAUGGCUCAAAACCCCAGAACAUCUGUCCAGAGCUCAUUUCUGAAUAGGAUCUUUUCCAAGGGCUUGCUGGCUGCCAGAUACCUCCAAGGGAGCCCAGAGGCCCAAGGACCCUGCAGCAGGGCCUGAAGGAACCGGAAAUGCCUUACAGACAUGCGUUUUCCUGGACACAAGAGAGAUCAGCUGAAAUUUAGGGUCACGAAGUCUCCAAAUGAUGUAAGGGUAUUAUCAUGCAGCCCCAGGCCCUGUUGGGGACACUGGGACCCCAUGCAAGUGUCCUGCUUCUAUAAGGCCCUACAGCAUAGGGACAGAAUGUCCACUCCACACAGUAGAGGAUGUCAGAGGAAAGAUAUGUAGCCCGUAGAGCAGAGGGCAGGGCUUUGAUACGUGGUGAUACUCUCUGACACAUUGUAACAGACUGGAGAUACAGUGAUAAGCAACAGAGGUCUUGCUCUUUGCUCCAGCUACGAGGUUUGAAAAGACUUCCUCUGGGGGAAGGGGGACCAGCCAAGGAACUCUGGAAGAAGAUUCUCUGUACAUGGAAACUUCUAGGCUCUGCGGAGGGACGACAUCUCAUUUGUGAGGCAAUAGCACCCUCUGGGGCCAGACAGAAGCAUUGCCUCUGGAACAUUCUCUGGGUCUUCAGAGCUCCUAAAUGUAAUAUAAAUCUAAUACAAAUAAAAUAAUAUUAAAUAUAAUAAA